rnacentral:rRNA from 1 species
GUGCACCAGUCGCGAAUUUUCACAAUGGGGAAACCCUGAUGGAGCGACGCCGCGUGGAGGAUGAAGGCCCUCGGGUCGUAAACUCCUGUCAUGCGGGAACAAGAAAGUGAUAGUACCGCAAGAGGAAGAGACGGCUAACUCUGUGCCAGCAGCCGCGGUAAUACAGAGGUCUCAAGCGUUAUUCGGAUUCAUUGGGCGUAAAGGGUGCGUAGGUGGCGAUGUAAGUCUGGUGUGAAAUCUCGGGGCUUAACCCCGAAACUGCAUUGGAUACUGCGUUGCUUGAGGAUUGUAGAGGAGAGUGGAAUUCACGGUGUAGCAGUGAAAUGCGUAGAUAUCGUGAGGAAGACCAGUUGCGAAGGCGACUCUCUGGGCAAUUCCUGACACUGAGGCACGAAGGCCAGGGGAGCAAACGGGAUUAGAUACCCCCGUAGU